AGAGUUUGAUCCUGGCUCAGGAUGAACGCUAGCGGCAGGCUUAACACAUGCAAGUCGAGGGGCAGCGGAGCGGAGUGCUUGCACUCUGCUGCCGGCGACCGGCGCACGGGUGAGUAACACGUAUGCAACCUGCCCCGGAGCGGGGGAUAACCCGGCGAAAGCCGGACUAAUACCGCGUAUAUAUCCAGGAGGCAUCUUCUGGAUAGGAAAGGACUUCGGUCCGCUCCGGGAUGGGCAUGCGGCGCAUUAGGCAGACGGCGGGGUAACGGCCCACCGUACCGACGAUGCGUAGGGGUUCUGAGAGGAAGGCCCCCCACACUGGUACUGAGACACGGACCAGACUCCUACGGGAGGCAGCAGUGAGGAAUAUUGGUCAAUGGGCGAGAGCCUGAACCAGCCAAGCCGCGUGAGGGAAGAAGGCGCUCAGCGUCGUAAACCUCUUUAGCCGGGGGACAAAACCUCCUCGCGAAGGAGGCUUGAGAGUACCCGGAGAAUAAGCAUCGGCUAACUCCGUGCCAGCAGCCGCGGUAAUACGGAGGAUGCGAGCGUUAUCCGGAUUUAUUGGGUUUAAAGGGUGCGCAGGCGGACAUUCAAGUCUGCGGUCAAAUUCCGGGGCUCAACCCCGGCCAGCCGUGGAAACUGAAUGACUUGAGUGGGCGAGAGGUAUGCGGAAUGCGCGGUGUAGCGGUGAAAUGCUUAGAGAUCGCGCAGAACUCCGAUUGCGAAGGCAGCAUACCGGCGCCUUACUGACGCUCAGGCACGAAAGCGUGGGGAUCGAACAGGAUUAGAUACCCUGGUAGUCCACGCAGUAAACGAUGAAUGCUGGUUGUUCGGGCCGACUGAGGCCUGAGUAACGUAGUGAAAACGUUAAGCAUUCCACCUGGGGAGUACGCCGGCAACGGUGAAACUCAAAGGAAUUGACGGGGGCCCGCACAAGCGGAGGAACAUGUGGUUUAAUUCGAUGAUACGCGAGGAACCUUACCCGGGCUCAAACGGGAGCGGACGUGCGGAGAAAUCCGCAUUUCUUCGGACCGCUUCCGAGGUGCUGCAUGGUUGUCGUCAGCUCGUGCCGUGAGGUGUCGGCUUAAGUGCCAUAACGAGCGCAACCCCUGCGGACAGUUGCCAUCAGGUAGAGCUGGGCACUCUGUCCGGACUGCCGGCGCAAGCCGUGAGGAAGGCGGGGAUGACGUCAAAUCAGCACGGCCCUUACGUCCGGGGCGACACACGUGUUACAAUGGGCGGCACAGCGGGAAGCCAGGUGGUGACACCGAGCAGAACCCGAAAGCCGUUCUCAGUUCGGAUCGGAGUCUGCAACCCGACUCCGUGAAGCUGGAUUCGCUAGUAAUCGCGCAUCAGCCAUGGCGCGGUGAAUACGUUCCCGGGCCUUGUACACACCGCCCGUCAAGCCAUGGAAGCCGGGGGCGCUUGAAGUGCGUUGCCGCAAGGCGCGCCCUAGAGCGAAACCGGUGACUGGGGCUAAGUCGUAACAAGGUAGCCGU
rnacentral:rRNA from 1 species